rnacentral:tRNA from 1 species
UGGCUUAGCGGUAAAGCGCUUGGCUUCCGAACCAGGGGUCCUGGGUUUGAAUCCUGG